rnacentral:rRNA from 1 species
CCUACGGGAGGCAGCAGUAAGGAAUAUUGGACAAUGCUCGCAAGAGUGAUCCAGCCAUGCCGCGUGCAGGAAGAAUGCCCUAUGGGUAGUAAACUGCUUUUGAACUAGAGAAAACCCCAGUACGUGUACUGGGCUGAUAGUAUAGUUAGAAUAAGCAUCGGCUAACUUCGUGCCAGCAGCCGCGGUAAGACGAAGGAUGCAAGCGUUAUCCGGAUUCAUUGGGUUUAAAGGGAGCGUAGGUGGACUUAUAAGUCAGUGGUGAAAUCUCCGAGCUUAACUCGGAAAUUGCCAUUGAUACUGUAGGUCUUGAGUACAGUUGCUGUGGGCGGAAUAUGACAUGUAGUGGUGAAAUACAUAGAGAUGUCAUAGAACACCGAUUGCGAAGGCAGCUCACAAAGCUGUAACUGACACUGAGGCUCGAAAGUGCGGGGAUCAAACAGGAUUAGAUACCCUGGUAGUCCGCACCGUAAACGAUGAUUACUCGCUGCUAGGGGGCAACCUUUAGUGGCUUAGCGAAAGCGANAAGUAAUCCACCUGGGGAGUACGCCGGCAACGGUGAAACUCAAAGGAAUUAGACGG